ACUUGAGUCUGAAAGAGGUUAAUAGGCAAGAAAGGCAGAGGCAUAGAUGAGAGAAUAGCAAUAAACCAGGGAUGAAGGGAGCCCUGGUGACAAAAAGGACACGGGAUUCUCUCUGUGGUCAAGGAGAUGGCAGUGAGAGGGGUAAAUUCAUUCACUUACCAUGGUCCUCUUUGGAGAGUGGAGUGCCAAGGGUGACAAGCCUCACCUGGCUGAGAUUGAAGUUUGUUUGGGCCCCAUUGUCACAGCAACAAGGGAAUGUUUGGUAACAGAGCCAGUGAUCUCACAGAAGCUGGUCAUAACCCCACCUUCCUGAAGCUCAGGGAAGAGCAGAGCCAUCCAGGAGAGAACUUGGAGGAAGAGGAAGACAAUAGUUUCCUUGGAAGAGCUGCGAGUACUAGAAAAGUACUGUCCUGGUGAGUGUACUCUUUUUGUGACUUCUAGAAAAGUACUGUCCCGGGACUUAUGGGUCAAGAUGGCUCCAGAGUAAAAGCAAGACUCUACUUCUCCUCUCUACCAUUCCUCAAAACGACAAAACCAAAAUCAAAGAAGCGAAAGAGUUCCACAGUACGACAUAGCACAGAAGUAUCCUGGAGGGACACCAGAUGGAACCAAAAGACCAUGUUAUUUAAGUCAAUCAGUCAAAAACUAAAACCUUAAUUUACAAUGAAAAAAGUUUUUUAAAAAAAUAAACAAUCUAAAUGACUACUUUCCUGAGCCUGU
rnacentral:lncRNA from 1 species